ensembl:lncRNA
UUGCAAUGUUGCCACAACAGAAAUAAUAAUUAACUUAUUUAUGAUGGUGCCAUUAUUCUUUUUGUAUUUUUACAUAGCCUACAGUAACAUGAAUACAAAUACUAACGUGUUUAUAUAGAGUAUAACCACAGGUCCACACAUGAAAGUGAAUCUCGCACGAUUAUCCACAUUUUUGCUGGAAGGGUAAACCAGGCCUCAUGCGUAGUAUUCUCAGAAAUUCCAACAGCGCCCACGAGCCUGUCAUGUAUACAGUGUAGCAGGCCUGUAAUCCUGUCAAGUGCUCUCCUUACCAUCACUUGUUGUUAGUGUUAAGCUGAUGCCCCACUCCCAUUACAGAUGUUGAAUUAAAUGAAAGCUUAAUGCCAAUACUGCCCUUGUUCUCAGGCUAGAUAUACUGUAUCUGUACUGCCUUGGACAUCCCUAUCCCUCUGGCCGAAUUGUUUCCUCCUUUUUCUGAUCUGCUGUCUCCCUGAGAGAAAAAACAUCUAAUAUGCACAGCCCUGUGAUUCACGACAGGAGUACCACAGGUCUCGAUUUUAUUGUCGUCCGGAUACGUUUCCAAAUGAAGGAGCUGAGACACGUGGACGUUGUUUUACUUUUCCUAUGUACAUUUUUAAAUUGAUAUGGAGUAGUCCCCUGGACGUCUGUGGUGUUUGUUCAUUCAAAAUGAUUCCCCCGGUUUGGUUUCUUUACCUUGUGGACGAUUCCUCUGGACCGUUGUGCUUUUCUACCUAUGGGGUUCUCUUCGAGAUGGAAGGACGCGUUUUUUUUGCCUGCUCUGCCUCUUAUCAAAGUCUGGGACACACUGCCCUCUUGUGGCCAUAAUGUCAAUCUGCACUAGGUAGAGGAAUGACACUUCCUCAAGUGGUGCUCAGCUACAGAGCUACUGUUUGGCUGGGGAUCAGGAACCCAACAAUUGGCAUGCUUGACCUGUCCCAGUUUUAUUGACUCCACUCCCUCACCUUGGACUCGUGCAGGUGCCUGGACUCAAACCCUUUGGGUCGUACUGUUUCACUUCCCCUUAUCAUCACACAGGGGG